AUAGAUAAGCUUUGAAACAUGACAGAGCGUUACAUAGGGAUUAUGCUGCUGCUAACAUCAGAUAUCUAGAACAAGAAAAUAAACAGGAACAUUAAUAACGGCGCGACCAUAUUCGUAGAUUCUAAUUAAAAAGACAACAGUAAUUUGGACACCCCCAAUAACCUCAUGCAAGAUUCCAUUCUGCAGGUAGUUAUGGACCAUGGUUCACUUGUUGAAAGACUUCUUCUCCUCCUCUUCGUUGAAAGACUUCUUCUUGUUAUUUAUGUAGCGAAUUAUCGUAUCGUUCGAUAGCUGCUUCUCUAAUUUCUUAUCAUUCUGAUCUUGUUUCGUACCAGGAGAGACGCUCACUAUCACAGGUCCAUGUCGUUGGACCGGAACGUAGACUCCGUUCUUCUCGUCCUCCUCCCACGCUCGACCGUCAGUUGUGCCUGCAAUGGCGGUACGUGGAAUCUCUCGACUAGUGUGUUCGUCAUGGCGCGCCAUCAAAAGUUUGAUCACGAAGGUGACAAUUCUCGAACAUAUGCCGUGAGACCCCCUCUUCGAAGUGUCGUGGCUUCGCUGCAUGCCUUGCGCCGCGGAGGAGGGAAUGCCUGCUUGGUUGAUGAGAGAGUUGAAGAUUUAUAUAGCAGGAUUUGUAACAGGAGGAGACUUCUUAAGUCUUUGGUAGAUUCUUGGCGUGAAGAUGCAGCAGAAAAGAUUUAACAAAAGGAAAAGAGAGAGGUAGGAAGAGAGGUCCUCCUAGAUGAAGGUAUCCAUUCCUUUCUUGCUUAUAUGAAAACAAUCACAUGAGAUUCCACCUACCUAUAGAAUUCAUAUUACAAGUGAUUAAUCAAUUAACUAACUUAGUGGAAACACAAGCUAACAAAAAGCAGUUUGCAAUUAUAGACCAGAGCUUAAUGACCCCAGAAAGAGUGUACCUAAAUUCCACUCGCAUUAUUUGCAAGCACUGCAGUCAUCUGAUUGAUGUGAUUGGACACUUUCUUCCCCUCGUGAAUCGCGCUCGGAUAUCACUGAGAAAAGCCACCACCUUAAACACACUUUCACAUGUUAUGCCCUGGAAAGAAUAAUGCAAAGUGACCUACCAAUGAUAUAGCCUCAUUUUUAAUAAUCUUUCACCAUAGAGAGAGAGAGAGAGAGAGAGAGAUAAAAGC
rnacentral:lncRNA from 1 species